AAGUCGUACACAACAACCGUGAACCUUCAUCCUGCUCUUGUAACCCGCGCAGUUCGCAAUCUCUGAUAAAUCAUAGCCCGAUAAGUUGUGGUGAUUCAGAGACCUCUGGCUACGUGCGAACAUUUGAACAGUUACAAUCGAGCGGUAGUUCUUUUGGCAAUGUUUCCCCAAGCAUAAGUGUCGGAAAGUGUCAUUGAUUGUGCAAGGAUAGCGCUUCGACGAUUCCUGUAGACCGUACACUCGGGCAGGAGCUUUGCCAAAGGGUCCCCAUGCCCCCUAAUAACCCCACAGUUUAAUGUGAAGCUCAAUGCAAUACACUGGGUAAAAAAACCGAACAACUGUUAACAAUGGAUAUCUUGGUUCUC
rnacentral:misc_RNA from 1 species